rnacentral:rRNA from 1 species
UACGUAGGGGGCAAGCGUUGUCCGGAUUUAUUGGGCGUAAAGAGCGUGUAGGCGGCCAGGUAGGUCUGCUGUGAAAACUCGAGGCUUAACCUCGAGAUGUCGGCGGAAACCAUCUGGCUAGAGUCCGGAAGAGGAGAAUGGAAUUCCCGGUGUAGCGGUGAAAUGCGCAGAUAUCGGGAAGAACACCCGUGGCGAAGGCGGGUUGCUGGGCCGACACUGACGCUGAGGCGCGAAAGCCAGGGGAGCGAACGGG